CUUGGGCUGUGCCGGCCGGAUCAUUCCGACUUGGAUUGCCGGACAUGCCUAAGAAGCAGUAUCCAACAACUGGAAACUCCGGCAGUGGGUGCUAGAACUAUCACCCCAGACUGUAAUAUUAGGUAUGAGAAGUACCCUUUCUAUAAUAACACAGCCGCCUCUGCGCCUCCGCCUCCAAUCCCUCCUCCUCCUCCCACCGGUGAAGGAAACAGUGGAAAUUCAUCUUCAGAAGUGAUAAUUGCCAUUGUAGUUCCUGUCGUUGUUGGGAUUAUACUCUUCAUUGCAAUCUUCUGUUUUGUGAGAACUACAAAAGCCAAGAAACAAAUUACUACAACAAAGCAAACAGAUGUGUCUGGAUUCUCAACUGAGGAUUGCUUGGAGUAUGAUCUUGCUACUAUUAGCUAUUACAGAUGAUUUCUCCCAGAAAGUAAAAUGGACAAAGGUGGAAGAAGAAGAUGAGCGGAUGACUUUAAUUUUUCAUUUUUCUUUUAUUUAUUGUUUAAUU